rnacentral:rRNA from 1 species
AUACGGAGGGUCCAAGCGUUAUUCGGAAUCAUUGGGUUUAAAGGGUCCGCAGGCGGUCAAUUAAGUCAGAGGUGAAAGCCCAUCGCUCAACGAUGGAACUGCCUUUGAUACUGGUUGACUUGAGUUAUACGGAAGUAGAUAGAAUAAGUAGUGUAGCGGUGAAAUGCAUAGAUAUUACUUAGAAUACCGAUUGCGAAGGCAGUCUACUACGUAUAUACUGACGCUGAGGGACGAAAGCGUGGGGAGCGAACAGGAUUAGAAACCCUAGUAGUCC